UACGUAGGGGGCUAGCGUUGUCCGGAAUCAUUGGGCGUAAAGAGCGUGUAGGCGGCCCGAUAAGUCCGCUGUGAAAGUCGGGGGCUCAACCCUCGAAUGCCGGUGGAUACUGUCGGGCUAGAGUGCGGAAGAGGCGAGUGGAAUUCCUGGUGUAGCGGUGAAAUGCGCAGAUAUCAGGAGGAACACCAAUUGCGAAGGCAGCUCGCUGGGACGUAACUGACGCUGAGACGCGAAAGCGUGGGGAGCAAACAGG
rnacentral:rRNA from 1 species